rnacentral:rRNA from 1 species
UACGUAGGGUGCGAGCGUUAAUCGGAAUUACUGGGCGUAAAGCGUGCGCAGGCGGUUAUGCAAGACAGAUGUGAAAUCCCCGGGCUCAACCUGGGAACUGCAUUUGUGACUGCAUGACUAGAGUACGGCAGAGGGGGAUGGAAUUCCGCGUGUAGCAGUGAAAUGCGUAGAUAUGCGGAGGAACACCGAUGGCGAAGGCAAUCCCCUGGGCCUGUACUGACGCUCAUGCACGAAAGCGUGGGGGGCAAACAGG